UCUCUCUCUCUCUCUCUCCACCAUCUCUCUCCAUCUCUCUUAGCGUUUUGUGUUAGGAACUUAGGAUAAUGGAACCUUUAGAUUAAUUAAGUUGGAUGUUGGGUUUUUUGAUUCUUGAUAUGGGUUGCUUUUAGAUUUAAGAUUUUGAUUAUCAAAUCUCUGUUUUGUAAGUAAUACAUGGGUACCAGACCUUGCAACUCUGUACGUUCCUUUGAUCUCUAUCUCAGAAACCAAUACAUGUGUGUUAUUGGCAUUUGUGAAGGAAUCUAAAUAUCUGAACUUACAUUCGUAGAUGUGGGGUUAUAUAAUAGUUUAUUAUUAUUAUGUAGAAUCAGUGACAUUAAAUAUAUCUUUGUGGGGAUUAUGUGUUUAGAGUUUGUGUUUCACUUAGUUCUGCAGAUUGCUUUAACUUGGGUUUGUCGGAUUACAGCCUGCUUGUGUCAGCUAGAACCUGUUAUUUUUAAAAUUUCGUUUAUACAUUGGUUAUUACCAUUUAUUGCUUCCUUCACAUUGCCAUCAAUAUAUACAUAUGCCUUUCUUUUUAUUUUUGUUGUUGUAGGUGUGUGUUCUACUUGGUUCUCCGAGCUCUUGAUACUAUCUUUUCAGAUUUGGACAUAAAUCACAACUAGACAGAAAGAAUGGCUAAUGAUAUGGUUAGGUGAUACUUGGAUGAGGACGAAUAUGAGGACGAUCUGCUUAAGCUAGAGAGAUUACUUCAAAAAACAGAUCGAGGCGCUGGAUGGCAUCAUGUUCAGCAGCUUAUGCACCUUACUAGUUUAUUUGAUUUGAGUUUGUACUGAUUUUUAUUAUUAGUUACUCGUAUGACCACUUUUCCUAUUGUUUAAAUCGAAAUCUUUGUAACAAUUGUGAGAGAGUUUAUGAUUUAGACCAAAAUGAUGGGAUUUUCUUAAUAAGAAAGCUCUUAUAAAAAGCUACAGUUUUUUUC